rnacentral:rRNA from 1 species
GACGAAGGGGGCUAGCGUUGUUCGGAAUUACUGGGCGUAAAGGGCUCGUAGGCGGCCAACUAAGUCGGAUGUGAAAUCCCCAGGCUCAACCUGGGAACUGCAUCCGAUACUGGAUGGCUUGAAUUCGGGAGAGGGAUGCAGAAUUCCAGGUGUAGCGGUGAAAUGCGUAGAUAUCUGGAGGAAUACCGGUGGCGAAGGCGGCAUCCUGGACCGACAUUGACGCUGAGGAGCGAAAGCCAGGGGAGCAAACGGG